GAAAAUGUUGCAAUUGCUGAAACCAUGUUCAGUAUUAAAGGCACUGGAAGAGGGAGCUUCAUUGCUGGCUGAAGUGUACACAACCAAAGGAUUAAGCGCCUAUGGCGAGAUGUCUGGACCUGUGUCACUCAUCUGUACUAUGAAGUUCUUUACAGUCUAGAAGAAGAUGGCCUGUUGGAUUUGACAGAUGCUAUCCAUCUGUUUUGUGCCCAUUAUGUGUUCCUUCCGCAUCUGGUAGAGGCCCUUCACACCUUCACAGAAGGCUGGGACAACCAUCCCUUACAAUCUGAAGGUGGACUCACCCCUAACCAACUCUGGGUUAUGGGUCACAUGCAGAACCCUUGUGACCCAGAUGAAGAUUUGCAGAACAUGGAGCUGUUUGGAACUGACUGGGAGAUGUUUGAAGCUGUGCCUGAAGAACCUUAUGGAGUUGAAGUCCCAGAAAUUGAGUACCCACUGACUCCAGCUAUUAUGGAAACUGUACAGUCCAUGAUCAAUCCCUCUGCAUCGUCAGAAUCAUUUGGCAGGGACAUUUAUAUAUCAAUGGUUCAGUGCAUUGAAAGUCUAUGUGUGACACAAAGAAACGUCUAAGAUAUAAUCAGUCCUUGCAAAAGAUUUAAUGGAAUGAAGUUGAACAUUUGCAAGCAGACUGCCAGUUACAAAAGGCUUGCUGUGACAUUAGUUCAUUUUAACAUGGGAGUAACAGUGAGGUAAAAAACUAACUCAUCAUUCAUUUUGGUUUUGAAGUGAACCAUCACUAACAGCAAAACAAUGGUUUUGUAACAAUGAAUAACAAAGUUAUUCACAGAAACAAUAAGUUGUCAAAUAAAAAUGCCAAUAA